UUAUUUCUCCGUCGCGAGUGGCAAUCGUUUGAACACCGUUAAAAAACGUCGCAUCCCGAACAGCUUAAGUGCUUCUCAGGAAUUAUUAUUUACGGAUACUAUUUAUUUACAUCAGCAGGGCCACUGGCUGAACCGUUGAGGACAAGGCAGUUCACCCAAAGAGGCCUUUAGUAACCGGAUAGGAGCAAUGGACAUUCACAUGACGACGCACUGUGGAAGCCGAGAAACAGAUCCAAAAUGCCGGCUAAAUCGUUGACCCAGAUGGUUUAUCGACGAAGAAGCAGACUAUAUGUGACCAAAUUAUCAAUGUGCAAACGUAAACACAAG